rnacentral:rRNA from 1 species
GACGUAGGGCGCGAGCGUUGUCCGGAUUUAUUGGGCGUAAAGAGCUCGUAGGCGGCUCGUCGCGUCAACUGUGAAAACCCGUGGCUCAACCAUGUGGUCUGCAGUCGAUACGGGCAGGCUAGAAUUCGGUAGGGGAGACUGGAAUUCCUGGUGUAGCGGUGAAAUGCGCAGAUAUCAGGAGGAACACCGGUGGCGAAGGCGGGUCUCUGGGCCGAUAUUGACGCUGAGGAGCGAAAGCGUGGGGAGCAAACAGG